UACGUAGGGACCGAGCGUUGUCCGGAAUCAUUGGGCGUAAAGAGCGUGUAGGCGGCUAUUUAAGUCCUGCGUGAAAUCCUGCGGCUCAACCGCAGACGGUCGUGGGAAACUGGAUGGCUAGAGUGCGGGAGAGGAGAGUGGAAUUCCCGGUGUAGCGGUGAAAUGCGCAGAUAUCGGGAAGAACACCCGUGGCGAAGGCGGCUCUCUGGAAC
rnacentral:rRNA from 1 species